AUUUCCAGUUUUAGUUUUGACAGCAUUCCUAGAACUAGCUCCUUAGGGUUUUUUAAAGACACCAACGCCAACCAGCAAGCGCCCCCUACUGAGCGGUCUAGGUCCCAGCUCUGAGAAGCCACUCAAGUUUCUAAGUUUAUGGAACAUCUAAAGAACAAAUUCAUCUGGCUCUCAUACAGUUUUUAGGAUACUACUUUGAUUGACAUUUCAGUUUCUUUUAGAUCUAUAUCUUCUAUUUUUCUUGAGGCUAUUUUGAUAAUUAUUUCUUAAGAUAUUAUCAAUUUUCAUCUAGAUAAAAAAAUAUAUCAUUUUAUGUAUUUUUAAAUUC
ensembl:lncRNA novel transcript